GUCGAGCGGUAGAGAGAAGCUUGCUUCUCUUGAGAGCGGCGGACGGGUGAGUAAUGCCUAGGAAUCUGCCUGGUAGUGGGGGAUAACGUUCGGAAACGGACGCUAAUGCCGCAUACGUCCUACGGGAGAAAGCAGGGGACCUUCGGGCCUUGCGCUAUCAGAUGAGCCUAGGUCGGAUUAGCUAGUUGGUGAGGUAAUGGCUCACCAAGGCUACGAUCCGUAACUGGUCUGAGAGGAUGAUCAGUCACACUGGAA
rnacentral:rRNA from 1 species